rfam:Microgenomates (Woesebacteria) bacterium GW2011_GWB1_38_8 TT08_C0011, whole genome shotgun sequence.
UGCGGGAUCGUCUAAUGGUAGGACAGCAGCCCUUGGAGCUGUUUAUUCAGGUUCGAAUCCUGGUCCCGCAG